GGGGAUGCAAUGGUUUCGACGGGAGUCUUGAAAGUAGGAAUAGCCAUCCGCGGACCAGUGAACCGCGUCAUCAAGCUGGAACCUUUUUUAAAAAGAAACGACAAAAAUAAUUUUGCACUGGCUGCCUAAUUAACGGCGCCUGUCGGCCUUCGGUUUCUCACCGCUGAAGAAUCCGGCAUCGACUUGGUGGGGCACUUUUCUGCCUAAGCUUUGCGGCAGGGAAAGAUUCAUGAAGCUACUGAGGGGUAAAGCCUGUCAAUCGGCGUUGCAACGAGGGAAUGGAAAAAGACUGACUGUGAUGGGAGAAGUUCUUAUGGAUGGGUUUUCGGACAGGGGUUCAAUUCCCCUCAUCUCCAUGC
rfam:Firmicutes bacterium CAG:102 genomic scaffold, scf115